ensembl:rRNA 5S_rRNA 5S ribosomal RNA
GUCUACAGCCAUACCAUCCUGAACGAGCCCAAUCUUGUCUGAUCUCGGAAGCUAAGCAGGGUUGGGCCUGAUUAGUACUUGAAAGGGAGAAAAAAACUCCAGGGACUAUGCUUC